AUUGAACGCUGGCGGCAGGCCUAACACAUGCAAGUCGAACGGUAGCACAGAGAGCUUGCUCUCGGGUGACGAGUGGCGGACGGGUGAGUAAUGUCUGGGAAACUGCCCGAUGGAGGGGGAUAACUACUGGAAACGGUAGCUAAUACCGCAUAAUGUCGCAGGACCAAAGAGGGGGACCUUCGGGCCUCUUGCCAUCGGAUGUGCCCAGAUGGGAUUAGCUUGUUGGUGAGGUAAUGGCUCACCAAGGCGACGAUCCCUAGCUGGUCUGAGAGGAUGACCAGCCACACUGGAACUGAGACACGGUCCAGACUCCUACGGGAGGCAGCAGUGGGGAAUAUUGCACAAUGGGCGCAAGCCUGAUGCAGCCAUGCCGCGUGUGUGAAGAAGGCCUUCGGGUUGUAAAGCACUUUCAGCGGGGAGGAAGGCGAUACGGUUAAUAACCGUGUUGAUUGACGUUACCCGCAGAAGAAGCACCGGCUAACUCCGUG
rnacentral:rRNA from 1 species